UCCUGAGGGGACUCAAGAAUGCCAGUAAGGCAUUGAGGCACUUUGGCAUGCCUCCUGGCGUGAUGCAUAGCCACACCAGCCAUACAUGCACUCCAAGGAAAGUUAGUUUGAGAAGGCUCAUGGUAGGAGGAAUAGCCGUGGCUUCAAGGUUUGUUUAAGUCAGCCUCUCUCUUCUUAGUUGUUGGUGUGGAGCGAAUGUUGUUCUGUUUGCGCGAUUGCCAGUAAUUAGUAAAGUACUACCUCUGUUUGGAAUUAGUUUGUCGCUGAAAUGGAUGUAUCUAAACCUAUUGUAGUGCUAGCUACAUCCUUUUGAGCGACAAGUAAUUCCGGACGAAGGGAGUACUUUGUACUCAUAGUAGCAUAAUCUAUUGCCGUGUAGGUAGCAUGGUAGAAGAGUGGCUAAUAUAUAAGCUAGUCCAGUGUUCAGUCUGAGCUCUACUCUCCUGUGGCCAUCAUGUGCACUUGUUUGUUUUUUCUCCUGAGACUUAAACACAUGUAACAAUGGCUAUUCUCUCAGGCACAUGUACACAACGAGACACAUGUUUGAAUCAGGGACUAGAGACUCUAAGGGUAUACCAGAAUUAUUAAUAAAUGUAAGACUGUUCAUAGUAGAACAUUCUAAACAUCCGUACCGUUUAGUUAAUUUGCCCAUGGUAAAUACCAGAACUUCGUGUUGAAACAGGGACUAGAGAGCCUAAUGGUACACAAAUGUCAUUAAUUAGUACUCGUUAUAGUAAAACAUUUUACGCCUCUAUACAGUUUACUGAAACCCUAGGGGUAUGCCCAGUUCCAUAUGUGGAACCAGGUCUGAAAUCUUCAGUAUUGUUGACUAGAAAUAUAUGAAAUAGAAAAAUACUGUUGAUUGGACCUGAACUUGACGCACCGUGGUAAAGACUGAGUUCUAUUACUGAUUAAUUGGGAGCUACAAUACAGAGGGACCAUGUAUUAUGUUGCGGCUCUUUAGCCUCAGUUUUAAAUCCCAACAUGGUGGCUUGUAGCAAGGUGUUUCAUCUUUGAAGUCUGUACAAUCACUGUCAUACUGCCUACUAUUAAUUUGAUUAUGCAUGCUCCUGUUUUGCUCUUUAUACAAGAUAACUUUUGUUUGACCGUCUAAGAGGAAAACAAUUAGCAUUUGCAGAGAAUUAAAAGAGUGAAACACACUGCAGCUCUAGAUAAAAACCCUUCUGAAAUUCAGAACGUCACUAGCUAGUUAAGGGGUUUGAGAUUUUAGCACUUCAAUUAAUCUGUUCUUUGUUUCCAUUCAGUCAUGUCCAUUUAAUCACUUCAGUUAACCGGAGGGCAAUAAGACAGGCGGAUGGAAUUUGUCUUAUACUUUAGAGGCUCGAGAAUUUUGAACUUUGAUGUUGUUCAAUGCUGGUGAAACUUGAGUUGCAUGCUUAGAGAAUAAGACUUACAUGCUGAUCAUAUAUUGACUGGUUAAUUGAAUCCAUAGCAACUGUUUACCUUUGCUAUGGAUUUAGUUAGUAUGAUUGUGGGCUUGCGUCCUAUUAAAAUUUGAGUCAAUCUUCCACCUGAAAAUUUGUUCCUUCUUUUGCUGCACACUAAUAGCUAGAGAUUGACUAGGACCUUGACCUUGUUGUCUUUUUAUCUCCACUUGAUUUGAACCCUCUAGUUUUGUUGCUAGCAUGUCGUGCGACUAUAAAAUCAUCAAAGAACUCUAUUCUUGGUGUCAUGAACUUGGACACAUGAUUUACUAAGAAAACUAUGCAGUUUAAACUUCCAUGUGAAAUAUGAAACGACAGACAUUGCCGUGCAGCGAUUGUAGUGUCCUUCUGCAUGUGUUUCUUACCACUUGUUAUGUUGCCAAAAUGUCUAGCAAAGAUUCUCUCGACUUCUCAAAAAAAAUUCCUUGGUUGUAAGAAUCAGACUAGUUAUGCUUUGAGCAACUCAUGGAUGAUGUAUAUACGUUUCUAGAGGCUCCACUUAUAAUAAAUAAAUAUUGAAGUUAAAAAAAAAGUUGCACCUGAAAACGUCUUCUCGUCUUCUCCUCAAUAAGCGCCAUCGGAAACAGCUCCUCGCAAGUCAUUAACGCAUUUUAGCGGCCGCUGAGACUCCACACGAUCCAUUCGGUCAGUGCAACUGCUGCAAGGCAGUUGCCAACAACACUACUUCUCAUCCCCCGCACUUCCUCUCUCACAAUGCCAUACCAGAACCGCGGUGCUAUCCCUUCCACUCUCGCUCUCUCUCUCUCUCUCCCUAAGCCAUUGUUGCGCCGCAGCCCCAUGGUGAACCCCUGCAAGGCUUGCUUGCGAUGCAGGACAAUGGCCUCAGGGAUACGAUUGCGUGUGUCGACCUGCUGGACCGCAUUCGAGUUUCUGGAACCCAUUGCAGACUUGGCCAGGACGUGCGUCGGGUUAAUCCGGAGGUGGUCAAGUUGUUGGAUUUCCCGUCGUCCUCGAAAAUGGUGUUUUCUGGGAGAAAGGCCCUGGACACAUGUGUGUGCUGACUCUGAUGGACUGGCCGGCCGUGACGGCUAAGAUCCUGUAUGAACCUCCUCCUGAAAAGUCUUAUAUAUGUCUGCCAGGUUUGCGCCCAUCCAGCAAUCAUCUUCUCCCGCAACAUCAUCUUUUCGGAUGCAUUCGCAAACAACUAGUUCAUUCGCUUGUUUCCAUUGCGUACAUUGUAGUGCUGUUUGGGAGCGAACGGUGAUUGGGUGGCCUUUGCCAAUGUACAAGGCGACAUUCACCUGCACAAUGUGUAUAGUUGUCACAAUGUUCGCCUUUCCCCUCCUUCCUGCCCAAAGUUUUGAACCGCUGAACCAAACCGGCGGGAUGCUAGAUUUCAUGUACAACAAUGUCAGGCUGGACCUGCUCAAGGUAGUCAUAUCCGCCGACGAGAAGAUUUGGCUACAUGGACUACAUUGUCAUUGAUGUCUUCGGCAAAGCAAUCGUCGUUAACACAUGUUUCAAUCCUUGUGCGGAUCAGUGGCAAAUAAUGUCUCCGGCUGUUUUGGCACCGCACUAUUAUGAAGAUGUUGUCUACGUUGCUAGCCGAAUUUGCGCCUUCACCACAAGCGGUACUUGCUUUGUGUGGGAUCUUUCAACCUACGAGCGCUGGCUCCACCAAGGUUCCUACAGGCCUCGCUCCUGCAGAAUGAAACGUGGCUCAAAUUCUGGAACCUGGUGCUAGACACGAGUGAUCACUCAAACAACAUGUAUCUUGUGCGCUCAGGCGGCGACAUGACAGGGCAGGAGCAGGGUGUUGACCAUGAAGAUCGAAUUGUGCGUCCCUACCCAACACUCAGUUGACGGGUAUUUUGAAGGCACGCAGUGGCAACCCAACAUCGACCUUGGUUCGCGAUCUCUCUUUGUAGGACAAAGCUAUCCCCUGAUGAUGGAGAUGCCACCUUUUGAUCAAGACGACAACGAGCUACCGUUCCUGAAGCGAGGAUGCGUUUUCACAGCAUGAUGUCGCACUUCCUGCUUCAAUGGUCCCCUCCCUAACAUGUGCCGGUACAGCCUUGACGGUAGUCCGACGUUGGGUGUCUUCCUGAAGAGCACGGGGUUUGACCACCCAGUGUGGUUGGUGCAGUCUCUUUGUAACGCGGCGGACUGACAUGAGCAGCAGGGGGAGUGAAGAAGAGGCUACCGUGGCUGCAUGGACAAUUUGGCGCGCCCUGUUAGUUUCUGCAGUAAGAUCUGAACACAUAUAUGGGUUUAGUUAGUUUCUGGAACUUAUUUAUGCAGUACCAGGUCACUGUGUGGUUUCUGAACUUAUGUAUGCGUCGGUAUGUGUGGUUUCUUAACUUAUGUAUGCAUGCUAUCUAUGUAUCAUCUAUCUAUGAUAUUUA